CUUCACCGAACCGAGCCACAACGGCCGACCUUCCGACCGCUCCUGUCCGUAGGUGGCGAGAAUCGCCUGCGCCUC
rnacentral:antisense_RNA from 1 species